rnacentral:lncRNA from 1 species
ACUUACUUGCGGAGAACAGGUUUGUGAUAGUACAGAAUCCAAGAACACUGGUUAGGUAACUGCCCACUGUUACAUUACUAAAAUACUGUUGAAAAAUGGCGUUAAACCCAAAACAGACAAACAAAUUAGACCUAAACCAAGGUUUCCUAGACAUCAGGCCUAAUAAAAUAAAGGAAUUAGAUAACUCUUGGUUAAAUUUUGUAUAAAUCAUGGCCCUUCUUCCAACAUAAAAAAUUUGUUUGUCAGGCUGUAUCUCAGUAACAACUGUAUGCAUUGGAUUUAAUCUUCUUACAGUGACCAGACCUGCUCAUUUAACCAAGCUAUAUAACUCUUGGCUGCAUGGAAUGUAAAUUUUCAAGUUAAAAAGUUUGCUUAAAGUUCUGCAUACUAUCAAGCUGUAUCUAAGCAACAGGUACAUGUAACAGACUGAAUUAUCACACAAUGCUUGUCUGUUACCAAAUCUGUUUAAAUAACAAGGUUAGAUAAUGAAUUACUAUUGGUUGAAUUUAAUAUAAAUUGCAGCCCUUUUUACAUUAGAUUCAUCCAAUAGAACAUUUUGUUAAGGUGUCAAACUGUAUCAGAGUAACAACUGUUACUGAUAUAUUAGAUUGAAACUUCACACACUGCUUCCUAGUAUUCUGUUGAAGUUUUGCAUGCAAGUUGUUAUAAUUGCCUUAAAAAUUAAAUUUUAAUGAGAUAAUAAUUUGGUAGUGUAACUUUUGCCAAAUUUUAUAAUACUAUAGCUCUUGUGUGACUUGGAAAUUGUUGAAAAUAGUCAAGCAUGCAGUCUUACUGAAGCUUUUGUUGUCUGUAUAUUAGCUGACAUUUUUCUCAGUACAUUACAUAACCACAUUGUCUGGUCUGUGUAGUUGAGACCAACUUUUUUGUCUGUACAGAGUACAUCAAUGACCAUUCUUUGUCAGGAAAUUAUUGACCAAAUAUUUGUUUAUCAUGUUGUUAAUUUUAUUAUGAUUGAAAUACAUUCCAAACUCACUUGUGAGUUAAUAUUAAAACAUUGAAACUUUAUGAAGAGCUUGACAAGGGCACUUUAAAAAAAGCAUGCAAGGUUAGUGUGGUAAGUAGAUCAUCAAGAGCUUAUCAGGUUGUCAUACCAGGUUAGCUCAGUGCAUGGAACAUCAAGAGCUUAUCAGGUUGUCAUACCAGGUUAGCUCAGUGCAUGGAACAUUUGAGCUUAUCAGGUUGUCAUACCAGGUUAGCUCAGUGCAUGGAACAUUUGAGCUUAUAAGUUGUCAUACCAGGUUAGCUCAGUGCAUGGAACAUUUGAGCUUAUCAGGUUGUCAUACCAGGUUAGCUCAGUGCAUGGAACAUUUGAGCCUGUCAGGUUGUCAUCAGUACUAUGUUAGUGUUAUGGCAUUAAACUUCUUAAAAAAAGGUACUUUAAGUACCUGUUCAUCUUUUCAGAUUAAUUUAAUGUAAUAUAAAUUAUAGAUAUUUUCCACAUGUCUGCUGUUUUUCUCAAUGAGUUAUAAAAUUAUUCCGGUCUUAUUGUGAGACUCUGCAGUCUUUUAUGUUUACUGGUAAGGUGUUUUUUCUUCUCAGAAAUACCAGUUAUUCUACAUUGCUCUGUUGCUUAUAAUAUACCAUAUUAUUUGUUUCAUAUAUGCCUAUUCAUUAUUGUUUAGAGUUUUCAUUUAUAAUAUGUUGAUGUAAUAAAACAGUGCCUUCAUCUUGAAAAAUACAUAGAUACUAUCAAAGUGAA